UACGUAGGGGGGCGAGCGUUGUCCGGAAUUAUUGGGCGUAAAGAGCGUGUAGGCGGUUCGGUAAGUCUGCCGUGAAAACCUGGGGCUCAACCCCGGGCGUGCGGUGGAUACUGCCGGGCUAGAGGGUGGUAGAGGCGAGUGGAAUUCCCGGUGUAGCGGUGAAAUGCGCAGAUAUCAAGUGGAACACCAGUGGCGAAGGCGAGUCUCUGGACGAUUCCUGACACUGAGGCACGAAAGCCAGGGGAGCAAACGGG
rnacentral:rRNA from 1 species